GGUAGGGUAGCCGAGAGUAGGCGGCGGGUUGUAGCCCCGAAGACGGAGGUUAGAGCCCUCUCCCUAUCA
rnacentral:tRNA from 1 species